UGGUGUAUCGCCAAAUGGUAAGGCAAUAGCUUUUGGCGCUAUCACAUAAAGGUUCGAGUCCUUUUACACCAG
rnacentral:tRNA from 1 species